AGGGAUCAUUACUGAGUUACCGCUCUAUAACCCUUUGUGAACAUACCUAACCGUUGCUUCGGCGGGCAGGGGAAGCCUCUCGCGGGCCUCCCCUCCCGGCGCCGGCCCCCACCACGGGGACGGGGCGCCCGCCGGAGGAAACCAAACUCUAUUUACACGACGUCUCUUCUGAGUGGCACAAGCAAAUAAUUAAAACUUUUAACAACGGAUCUCUUGGUUCUGGCAUCGAUGAAGAACGCAGCGAAAUGCGAUAAGUAAUGUGAAUUGCAGAAUUCAGUGAAUCAUCGAAUCUUUGAACGCACAUUGCGCUCGCCAGCAUUCUGGCGAGCAUGCCUGUUCGAGCGUCAUUUCAACCCUCAAGCACCGCUUGGUUUUGGGGCCCCACGGCACACGUGGGCCCUUAAAGGUAGUGGCGGACCCUCCCGGAGCCUCCUUUGCGUAGUAACUAACGUCUCGCACUGGGAUCCGGAGGGACUCUUGCCGUAAAACCCCCAAAUUUUUUACAGGUUGACCUCGGAUCAAGUAGGAAUA
rnacentral:rRNA from 1 species